AGCCGCCAUGCCAAAUGCAGUACUUAGCUGCUCCACGGCAGGGACUGGCCAGGUGGGCUGCCCUAACAACCCCCGGCACCUCCUGGUCCCUGAGUUCCCGGCCUGUGGAUAAGACUCUGCUGCCAGCA